AGAAAAUAUAUGACCCUUAAAUGCCCUAAAAGGGCCUCGACCUCUUGGUUUCUCCAUCUCUGGCCACUAUCUACAAUGGUCCGGUGACCUAAUUUGGCUCCCAAACAAACCCUAAAACCCUUGAUUCAAUACACCAUACCCCUAUUUGGGGCUAGAAUCAUAAAAUCGAGUUUCUAAAUAAUCGAUGCUUCGGUUCGUGGGACUCCGGUGACCUAAGGCGAUGGUUACCCUUCUUUGCUACCCCAACGGCGAACUAGAAUUCCUCUGCAAAUCAGAUCUAACUAGAUCCGAUGACCUAACUACUAACGAUAAAGACAAGGAGAGACAAUCAACAUUUCUUUAAAAACGUCAAUAUCUUCAAUCCAAGGAGUACACAUUGGCCUGAUCAACGUAGUGAUCUAUAGUUGGGUAGUAGAAUUGGCUUGUAGCAAAUUCAAUUCUCUAAGAACAAACUUAGCGACGAUCCUAAGGGAAAUAAAGAUCGUAAUCGAUUUUCAUCGAAACAUCAUAAUCCAAGCACGAACUUUUCCAAUUCCAAACCAAUAUGGCGUUAAUAUCGAUAGUCAAUAUUAAUAAAAAAAAAGUUAAAUUUUGAAGAUUGACUUUGGAAAUUAGUUCUAGAGAGAAGAGAAUGUUACAAGGGUUGCGUCU